rnacentral:snRNA from 8 species
CCCGUUUUCUCGGCCUUUUGGCUGAGAUCAAGUGUAGUAUCUGUUCUUAUCAGUUUAAUAUCUGAUACGUCCCCCAUCGGGGGACUACAUAUUAAAUGGAUUUUUCGAACAGGGAGUCGGAAAUGGGGCUUGCUCCGUCCGCUCCACGCAUCGACCAGGUACUGCAGUACCUCCGGGAACGGUGCAACACUU